rnacentral:rRNA from 1 species
CACAGCACUUUGGAAAGAGAGUUAAACAGUACGUGAAAUUGCUGAAAGGGAAACGCUUGAAGUCAGUCGCGUUGUCCGGACUCAGCCUUGCUUCGGCUUGGUGCACUUCCCGGAUGACGGGCCAGCUUUUGACCGCUAAAAGGGCUGGAGGAAUGUGGCACCUUCGGGUGUGUUAUAGCCUUCAGUCGCAUACGGCGGUUGGGAUCGAGGAAGCAG